CGCGCAGGCGGUCGUUCAAGUCGAGUGUGAAAGCCCCCGGCUCAACUAGGGAGGGUCAUUCGAUACUGAUCGACUCGAAGGCAGGAGAGGGAAGUGGAAUUCCCGGUGUAGUGGUGAAAUGCGUAGAUAUCGGGAGGAACACCAGUGGCGAAGGCGACUUCCUGGCCUGUUCUUGACGCUGAGGCGCGAAAGCUAGGGGAGGCAAACG
rnacentral:rRNA from 1 species